CAAAAGCACAACAACGCAUAUUUGUGGGGAAAGUGUACCAAAAUUAAAUAACCCAUCGCAGUAAUGAAGCUGUUGAAAGCAGAGCUGGUUGAAAGUAAUGCAGCAGGGAGGGAGGGGGCUUCCCCUGGAGACGCCGCGAGACUCGCCCUUCUCCUUGACAACGGCCUGCCUGUCAAUCAAAACAAUAAUUCUAAAGAAUGGCAACUGCCAAUCAACCCAAAUAGCCAUGCUCAUUGGUCAUUUAAACUAUUUUAAUAGCUUUCUUAAAUAAAGGGUCAGCCCGAAAAAAAUAUCUGGGUUGUUUGGGAGGGAGGGGAGACUACCGUUUUAACGAAACAGGGCCGACUCGGCAAGAAUUGCCUAGGAACUAUAUGGCUUCAAGUCCACCAUAGAGAUCAAUGGAAAAAGGCGCUCUACUUCCUUCUUCCGCCCAAAAAUCGUCCCAUGUCCCGCCCCCAGCCGUUGCUUCACAACACAUCGAACAUCCGCAGUCCAGUUAUACUAUACACGUCAGUGGUUGUGAAGCAACGGCUGGGGGCGGGACAUGGGACGAUUUUUGGGCGGAAGAAGGAAGUAGAGCGCCUUUUUCCAUUGAUCUCUAUGGUGGACUUGAAGCCAUAUAGUUCCUAGGCAAUUCUUGCCGAGUCGGCCCUGUUUCGUUAAAACGGUAGUCUCCCCUCCCUCCCAAACAACCCAGAUAUUUUUUUCGGGCUGACCCUUUAUUUAAGAAAGCUAUUAAAAUAGUUUAAAUGACCAAUGAGCAUGGCUAUUUGGGUUGAUUGGCAGUUGCCAUUCUUUAGAAUUAUUGUUUUGAUUGACAGGCAGGCCGUUGUCAAGGAGAAGGGCGAGUCUCGCGGCGUCUCCAGGGGAAGCCCCCUCCCUGCUGCAUUACUUUCAACCAGCUCUGCUUUCAACAGCUUCAUUACUGCGAUGGGUUAUUUAAUUUUGGUACACUUUCCCCACAAAUAUGCGUUGUUGUACUUUUGGAUGUACUUCUCCGUACUCUGUAAGGACCUCUGCAGUUUUGGUAAGUAAAAUAAAAACAUGUAUAUACGUGGCUGAUUGACCAAAAUGACUGAGCUUUGUUAAACAAACACGUACGACAAUGCUAGCUUGUUAUUAGCCCAAGACAGCAUGCUGAUCUUUCAGUGUUUGAUGAUCUGUCGGCUUGUCAAGUAACUUAAUUAUAAUUUGAAUGCCAUUGCUUUUGAAAGCAAAAUGUGUCUGUUUGGCGUGCGUCAGGUGUAAUUCCCUCCUUCCAUACCGUAGCCAAGUCCUUACAUCAAGAUGAGUAAACAUUUCACUACCAUUCUGGCACUAUGCUGGCCAGUGGCCACAUCGGAAAAGCAACGUAGUCUGGCUGUGUUCCUCCGUCAACUGUUAAAUAUUGUUUGUUUCUGUGUUGCCAAAUUGCUAGUUGGUGAUGAAAUGAUGGUCAUUGGUACGUUCGUUUUCAGUAUGCAAAUUGCGUCAUUAAUGUUGACUGUACUGAGUGACGAGUGCAUAGUGUAAUGCAAAUUGUGUCAUUAAUGUUUAAUUGUAGGCCUACUGACGAGUGCAUUGUGUAGUAAACAUUUCCCCAUCCUCAUGUGACAUGGUUUCAUUCUGUAGGCAAACAACAAACCACACUUCACCUGGAAAACAGAGCCAGGACUCACUGUCAGAUGUCUGAAAAUGUACAGUAGGCUACACGCCAGCAGGUCUCACCAUAGUCAACAUCAUCAAGGAUUGUCACUCCGACCUGAGAAGAGGCCCCAUAGAGACACGGACAAGGACCAGCCACUGUUGCCAGUGCACAACUGAGGACCCGACCAGCCUGCUGCCAUCUAUGAUGCUAUAUAGUACCCGCGGAGCGGUCUGAAGACGUGGAGUACACUGCAGCAGGUAUCACAUGACCAAGGACUUGGACAACGUCUCUGUUUACAUCUAUAGUGUAUUACACAACUGAAGAUGUGCACAGUACGCUACUGCCUGCAUCCUACCACCACAGAGGAUCCGAUAUGCAGAACCAGCUUCAAAAACCAUUGCAAUUAUGAAACACAGUUAAUAAAUGCUUAUAUACAGCA